CACAUCACCUAUCUCUAAAUGAUGGCAUAUACAUCAAUGUCGAUUGAAAUCACCUCAUGAGACCGAAUGUAUUCAACGCGAAUGAACCAGUAGAACGCAUAGAAGAGACGCGCCUUUUGAGAUGAUGGUUAGAUUCAAAUUUGGUGUUGAUAUAAAUAGCCAUGAACGCAACAGAUGGUUUUGUAAAAAGCGGUUGGUUGCAAUAACAUAUCUACAAACUCAAAGUUUCUCAAAUAUUAAGUCGUUUUGUGUGCUCGCUGAUUUCUUAGAUGGUUUGGUGUUGAACCCUGACUUGCAAUUUCAUAUUGUUGCUGAAAAGGCGGUCUCCUACUCCUACACCCAUCAUGUAUAUCUCUCUCUCCAAUAACUUACACUCUACAACAGUUGCAGAGAUGGAUAAAUGAAAGUACUGAUCAAUGGGGUUAGCAUUAAUUCAAGCCCCUCUCUUUUCCCUGGCAUUAGAGUGUCAAGGUGAGAAGCAUAUGAAGCUGCAUUCACCAAACAAAGAGAGUAUAUAUGGGAAUAGGAAAGAAACUGCAAGAGGGUGAAGAAGUAUUAUGUGAAGGGCAUAAAACAUUAAAUGCAACGAGGACAAGGUGAAUGAAAUGUAGAGGUCCCUUAAACAGAAGGAAAACAAACUUGAAGAGACAAAUAGUAAAAUUAAAUCAAGCAUUUUAGCAUUAAAGAAGAGGUAAGAUGAUGGAAAAAAAAUCAAUUAGUUUAAUUGUAAAAGAGGAGGUGCCUAUCUUUUCUGUUAACUUUGUUGUUCAAAAGUCGAAUGAUUCCAUCUUGCCUUCUUUUCUCUUCAGCACACCAAUUAAGCCUAUUAAAAAAAAAACUUCAACUUAAGGAAAAGUAGUCGCUCAAUUAGAAGUUAACUGCCAAAGGAAGAGUGAUUUUGUACUUAAUUUGUUUGUAACUCACAAAAAUGCUCCCUUCCUUUUUGUUUUUAUCAUAUUUAGUCUAACAUCAAAAGUUUUUCAGUUUGGUCUUUGAGUAAAGCAUUAUGUUAAUGUUUUGUUAUGUGUAUACACAAUCUUGAAACUUUAUCGGUACUUGAGGUUUUUUCAAACUCGUCACUUCAAACAACUUAUAGACACUUGUCACUUGAAACUGCUUAUAUAGAACAUUCAGUUGUGGGUGCGGAGGGAUAUGUCCACAAGCAGAUUUCAUUACCUUAACCAAGUUGUAGGUGUGGAGGUUAUAAAAUAAUUUAUAAAUUUACAACUUAUUGAAGCCAGUGAUUCAACAUUGCACGUGUUGCUCAUAAGCAGUGAUUACAAGGUUUUCCCUUAUCAAGUUACCUACUAAUCGAAUGUCGAUUUUAAACUAACCUAAAAUUUGAACAAUUUUUGUUCGUCAUGUACAUUAGGAAUGUGCCCAUUUAUGGAGCACCAUCUGACUUGCUUGAGUUCAACUCCAGGUUCUAGCUGACCAUGUUGUAUCGUCUUCUUCUCUCUCCAAUUCCGUUUUCCCGCCUCCUUCAAAGUAUUCUCGUUCCAAACCCUCACCUCCGACCUUACGUCCAUAAUAACCUAAUCAUUCACGUGCAUGACGUAGUUACCCUCGCCGCCACCAACGAUAAUCGAACAGUUCAGGAAGAAAUCACAAACUCGAUUGGAUUUAUAUGGACAAUACGAUUCAAUUCAAACCUCAAAUUCGGAACUCAAUUGAAAUUGAAGUAGUCUCCCAUGGCAAGGACUGAAAGCGGGAAAUAAGAAGCAAAAAUAUGAAAAGAUCAGUGAGAAGAAGGUGUCCACAUCAAUUGAAGUAAGUUAUUUUUGUUAAAAAUCAUACCUUGGUGAGUAGUUUUUGGCAUGGAAAUGACAAGAUUGUCCCUCGUGUUUUCAGGCUUUAUGUAGAGGCUACCCUACAGAGUUUUCAUCAUACUUCCAUUAUUUUUGUUCUUUAAGAUUUGAUGAUAAACCAAAUUAUGCUUACCUAAAAAGACUCUUUCGUGAUCUUUUUAUUCGUGAAGGUUAUAAUUAAUUAAUUAAUUAAUUUCUACCUUAAUUAAUAAAAUAUUCUAAUGUAUUGUGAAAAUUAAUCCUUCUUUUUUCUUUUCUAAAUUGUGAAAUCGAUUUGCGUGUGUUUUGUUUGUAUACAACUGAGUGUUCAUGCCAUUAUUGUUGCUAGAAUAGUGUAUAGUCUUGCAGGUUGUGGUGAUAAAGAUCUAACAUUGGGUUUUUACAUGUUGAAAAGUGGCGAUUUGUUUCUCAAUAGCAGUGGACUCCUAGGAGUUGUUUUCUCAUGUCAUGGAAUUCUUAUGUCAAUCUCAAAGUUUUCAGAGGUAAUAUGUUUUGUGUAUUCCUCUUUGAAUCAAUUCGUGUUAUGUGAUAUGACUGUUGCAAUUCAAAUUUUAUACAAUCCUUCAUUUUUUCUUAAUAUGCCAAAUUUGUAGCAUUGAAUACUUGAUUUAAAUGCAUGGAUUGUUAUAUUUUACUUAUGUUGCUACCAUUGAACAUUGUAUUUGUUAUUGGCAUGUUAUUGAAGCACCAAGAACUCAUUAUGCAACGUUUGGGAGAUGUCUUCAUCUUGGCCACACCAUAACAAGAUUGUCUUCAUGUUAAGCCAUAUGAGAGAGAUUGGAAGAGAACAUUGUAUAAUGAGUUCAACAUUUAAAUCUGGACAAUCAUGAUUGUUUCUUUUUUACUUAGCUAAAUUUAUAAAAAAUUCAACGUUGUAAUUACAUGUAAUUCACAUAUGAAUUACAUGUGAUUCACAUGUAAAUCACAUAUGAAUUGCAUGUGAUUCACAUGUAAAUCACAUAUGAAUCACAUUCACAUGUAAAUCACAAGUAAUUCACAUAUGAAUUACAUGUGAUUCACAUGUAAGUCGCAUAUGUGUUUUUGUGAGUGUUUUUGCAUCAAUCAUUUUUUUUUUAAAUUUUCUUGUAGAUUUGGAAGAAAUUGUGGUGAAUAUUAAAGAGGUGAAAAAUGAUAAAUUGAAGAAAAUAUGGAAAUAUUGACACGAAGACAUGAAAACACUUUGAAAUUUUGUAGCAUUUUUUUGUUUUUUAUAUUUUAUUUUGUAUCGAAUAAAAUACUUAUAUAUUGUGUUUAUAGAUUAGUAAGUAAAUAAAAUGAGUUUUCUUA